AUUGAACGCUGGCGGCAGGCUUAACACAUGCAAGUCGAGCGGAGAGAGGUAGCUUGCUACUGAUCUUAGCGGCGGACGGGUGAGUAAUGCUUAGGAAUCUGCCUAUUAGUGGGGGACAACAUUUCGAAAGGAAUGCUAAUACCGCAUACGUCCUACGGGAGAAAGCAGGGGAUCCUCGGACCUCGCGCUAAUAGAUGAGCCUAAGUCGGAUUAGCUAGUUGGUGGGGUAAAGGCCUACCAAGGCGACGAUCUGUAGCGGGUCUGAGAGGAUGAUCCGCCACACUGGGACUGAGACACGGCCCAGACUCCUACGGGAGGCAGCAGUGGGGAAUAUUGGACAAUGGGCGGAAGCCUGAUCCAGCCAUGCCGCGUGUGUGAAGAAGGCCUUAUGGUUGUAAAGCACUUUAAGCGAGGAGGAGGCUACUUUAGUUAAUACCUAGAGAUAGUGGACGAUACUCGCAGAAUAAGCACCGGCUAACUCUGUGCCAGCCGCCGCGGUAA
rnacentral:rRNA from 1 species